rnacentral:lncRNA from 1 species
AUAAAUACGAUAAUUUAUAGCAGUCUGGUAAAUGAAAGUAUCAACAGGCUAUCAAUUAGAACUCUACGAGGACAAAAUGUUGGAUCAAACAUUUACAUUUGAGAUAUGAACCCGUCUCUAAGCUAGUUUACAAAUUAAGUAGAAUACACAAGAAGGGGAGGGAUAGGCGGUUAAAGAAAAAAAGAAAGGCAGAAGCUAAAAAGCCAAAUAUGUACAGCAACUCUUCAGCUACCAUGUUUUGCAUAUCCACUAGUUUCCUCUGCAACCGUCUCCCAAACAUUUGCCAUCUUUUCUGCAUACCCUGCCUGGUAAAAUCCAACAUGUUAUUUUCUCCUAUUAAUCUUUUCCAAGGGAAUAGAAGAAGGAACAAGUAAAAGGGCUAACGCUUGCUUGAAAGGAAAAUCACUUUGAAGAACACCAGUAAUAGCAGAACGUUCAAUCCAGUUCACAGGUGACAUACCUUAUCUAAGAAAAGUUUAGAGGUGACCUAAAUUUCAUGUAUGCCCGACCAAAGAUUCUACCUUGUCACAAGAAAGUUCAAGUGGCUUGCUAAUAUUACGUUUCCGAGUCCCAGAAAUAAAUGGAUGACAACAUUUUUAGUCAAUCAUUUAUAAUAAUGAUGGCUCGAACUGGAAAGCCAACUGCACCAAAAAACAAGUAGGAAAGAUAGAGGAAGGUAAUAAUUUGUUUGAGUUGAGUUGAUAAUGUAAGCCUUCAGUUUAUCACAAAUCCGGUUUCCAUGUUAUCAUUAUUACAAGCAUUCCUUUUCAAGUUCUCCACGAAGAUGGCUAAAACAACUUAAUCCCAAAAUGUAUAGCCUCUUUCUCACGUUUAAAUGCAGGACUAGAUUUAAGGGUUUAGUUUCUGCUAUUGAAUCCAUGCAACAC